GAUGAACGCUGGCGGCGUGCCUAAUACAUGCAAGUCGAGCGAACAGGCGAGGAGCUUGCUCCUCUGACGUUAGCGGCGGACGGGUGAGUAACACGUGGAUAACCUACCUAUAAGACUGGGAUAACUUCGGGAAACCGGAGCUAAUACCGGAUAAUAUAUUGAACCGCAUGGUUCAAUAGUGAAAGACGGUUUUGCUGUCACUUAUAGAUGGAUCCGCGCCGCAUUAGCUAGUUGGUAAGGUAACGGCUUACGAAGGCAACGAUGCGUAGCCGACCUGAGAGGGUGAGCAGCCACACUGGAACUGAGACACGGCCCAGACGCCUACGGGAGGCAGCAGUAGGGAAUCUGCCGCAAAGGGCGAAAGCCUGACGGAGCAACGCCGCGUGAGUGAUGAAGGUCUUCGGAUCGGAGAACUCUGUUAUUAGGGAAGAACAAAUGUGUAAGUAACUAUGCACGUCUUGACGGUACCUAAGCAGAAAGCCACGGCUAACUACGUG
rnacentral:rRNA from 1 species